rnacentral:rRNA from 1 species
AGCGCAGACGGUUGAUUAAGUCUGAUCUGAAAGCCCGGAGCUCAACUCCGGAAUGGCAUUGGAAACUGGUUAACUUGAGUGCAGUAGAGGUAAGUGGAACUCCAUGUGUAGCGGUGGAAUGCGUAGAUAUAUGGAAGAACACCAGUGGCGAAGGCGGCUUACUGGACUGUAACUGACGUUGAGGCUCGAAAGUGUGGGUAGCAAACA